AUUGUACUCCCUCCGUUCGGAAUUACUUGUCACGGAAAUGGAUGUAUCUAUACGUCUAGAUACAUCCAUUUCCGCGACAAGUAAUUCCGAACGGAGGGAGUAGCUC
rfam:Triticum aestivum genome assembly, contig: Triticum_aestivum_CS42_TGACv1_scaffold_526930_6DL